UACGUAGGAUGCGAGCGUUGUCCGGAAUUAUUGGGCGUAAAGAGUUCGUAGGCGGUUUCCUAAGUUUGGUCUUAAAGACCGGGGCUCAACCCCGGGAAUGGAUCGAAAACUGGGAGACUCGAGGAUGUUAGAGGAAAGUGGAAUUCCAAGUGUAGCGGUGAAAUGCGUAGAUAUUUGGAGGAACACCAGUGGCGAAAGCGGCUUUCUGGGACAUUUCUGACGCUGAGGAACGAAAGCUCGGGGAGCAAACAGG
rnacentral:rRNA from 1 species